rnacentral:ncRNA from 1 species
GACUUGGUCCUAACCUUACUGUUGGUUUUUGCUAGGUAUAUACAUGCAAGUUUCCGCGCCCUAGUGUAGAUAGCCCUGGAAUCCUUGAUCAAAGUUUCUGGGAGCGGGCAUCAGGCACACCAUCAAACCGUAGCCCAAGACGCCUUGCACUUGCCACACCCCCACGGGUAUUCAGCAGUAGUUAACAUUAAGCAAUGAGUGUAAACUUGACUUAGCCAUAGCAACUUAAGGGCUGGUAAAUCUUGUGCCAGCAACCGCGGUCAUACAAGAAGCCCAAAUCAACUUUAUCGACGGCGUAAAGAGUGGUCACAUGUUAUCAAAACAAUUAAGAUUAAAAGGCAACUGAGCUGUCGCAAGCCCAUGAUGCACGUAAGGCCUCUCUAAAUAAAGAAAAUCUUAAUAUAACGAUUAAUUGAAAUCCACGAAAGCCAGGGCCCAAACUGGGAUUAGAUACCCCACUAUGCCUGGCCGUAAAUAUUGAUACUUUAUCUUACCUGAGUAUCCGCCUGAGAACUACGAGCACAAACGCUUAAAACUCUAAGGACUUGGCGGUGCCCCAAACCCACCUAGAGGAGCCUGUUCUAUAAUCGAUAAUCCACGAUACACCUAACCAUUUCUUGCACAAAACAGCCUAUAUACCGCCGUCGUCAGCUCACCUACCCUGAAAGACUAACAGUGAGCGUAAUAGUCCAACCCCACUAAAAAGACAGGUCAAGGUAUAGCCUAUGGAAUGGGAGUAAUGGGCUACAUUUUCUAACAUAGAACAUCACGAAAGGGGACAUGAAACAGUCCUCGGAAGGCGGAUUUAGCAGUAAAGUGGGACAAUCUAGCCCUCUUAAAACCGGCUCUGAGGCACGUACAUACCGCCCGUCACCCUCAUCAAAAGCGACGAACUACUAAUAACUAAUAAGCCACAAAGCUAAAGAUGAGGUAAGUCGUAACAAGGUAAGUGUACCGGAAGGUGCACUUAGACUA